rnacentral:rRNA from 1 species
UACGUAGGGGGCAAGCGUUGUCCGGAUUUAUUGGGCGUAAAGAGCGUGUAGGCGGCCACACAGGUCAGCUGUGAAAACUCGAGGCUCAACCUCGAGACGUCGGUUGAAACCGUAUGGCUAGAGUCCGGAAGAGGAGAGUGGAAUUCCCGGUGUAGCGGUGAAAUGCGCAGAUAUCGGGAGGAACACCGGUGGCGAAGGCGGUUCUCUGGGCCUUACCUGACGCUGAGGAGCGAAAGCGUGGGGAGCGAACAGG